UACGGAGGGUGCGAGCGUUGUCCGGAAUCACUGGGCGUAAAGGGCGCGUAGGCGGCUUGAUGUGUCAAAGGUGAAAUCCCUCGGCUCAACUGAGGAACUGCCUUUGAAACUGUCUGGCUUGAGGCCGGGAGAGGGUAGCGGAAUUCCCAGUGUAGCGGUGAAAUGCGUAGAUACUGGGAGGAACACCGGUGGCGAAGGCGGCUACCUGGACCGGAACUGACGCUGAGGCGCGAAAGCGUGGGUAGCAAACAGG
rnacentral:rRNA from 1 species